rnacentral:rRNA from 1 species
CCCACGGGAGGCAGCAGUAGGGAAUCUUCCACAAUGGACGCAAGUCUGAUGGAGCAAUGCCGCGUGAGUGAAGAAGGGUUUCGGCUCGUAAAACUCUGUUGUUGAAGAAGAACGGGUGUCAGAGUAACUGUUGACAUCGUGACGGUAUUCAACCAGAAAGCCACGGCUAACUACGUGCCAGCAGCCGCGGUAAU